CUCGUAGGCGGUUCGUCGCGUCCGGUGUGAAAGUCCAUCGCUUAACGGUGGAUCUGCGCCGGGUACGGGCGGGCUGGAGUGCGGUAGGGGAGACUGGAAUUCCCGGUGUAACGGUGGAAUGUGUAGAUAUCGGGAAGAACACCAAUGGCGGAGGCAGGUCUCUGGGCCGUUACUGACGCUGAGGAGCGAAAGCGUGGGGAGCGAACA
rnacentral:rRNA from 1 species